CUACGGGAGGAUGGCAAGCGUUAUCCGGAUUCAUUGGGUUUAAAGGGUGCGUAGGCGGGUUUCUAAGUUCAGUGGUGAAAACCUACAGCUUAACUGUAGAACUGCCAUUGAUACUGGAAGCCUUGAAUACGGUUGAGGUAGGCGGAAUGUGUAAUGUAGCGGUGAAAUGCUUAGAUAUUACACAGAACACCGAUUGCGAAGGCAGCUUACUAAGCCG
rnacentral:rRNA from 1 species